rnacentral:rRNA from 1 species
GACGAACGCUGGCGGCGUGCUUAACACAUGCAAGUCGAACGGGCCUGUCUUCUUUUUUGGGGGUGGGUUGAGUGGCGAACGGGUGAGUAUCACGUGAGUAACCUGCCCUUCGGUCCUGGAUAACCGCUUGAAAGGGCGGCUAAUACGGGGUGGUCCGGUUGGUCCGCAUGGGCUGGUCGGGAUAGAUUCACUGUUUUUGGUGUUUCGGCGGGGGAUGGGCUCGCGGCCUAUCAGCUUGUUGGUGGGGUGAUGGCCUACCAAGGCGGUGACGGGUAGCCGGCCUGAGAGGGGGGGCGGCCACACGGGGACUGGGAUACGGCCCAGACUCCUGCGGGAGGCAGCAGUGGGGGGUAUUGCACAAGGGGCGGAAGCCUGAUGCAGCGACGUCGCGUGAGGGAGGGAGGCCUUCGGGUUGUGAACCUCUGUUUCCGGUGGUGAAGGCCCUGUCCGUGUGGUGGGGUUGACGGUAGCCGGGGAUGAAGCGCCGGCUAACUACGUG